GCAUUGCCUGUCCGAGCUAAAUCCUCCAGGAUUGUCACAAUCCCUUCUAGUGGCAAUUUUCCUGAGCAACAGUUCAGGUUUAAUACUGCAAAAUGCACGGGGCUAAGGAAACAAAACUGAGAACACUGCAGGUUUACAGUUUCCACACGGCGUUCUUUGCAUCUGGGGACUCUGAAUACGUCCAGGUGCUCGCUCGAGAGGCUUUCACGAAGAUGUUGACGUCUAAUUCACGAAUUAGAAUUGGAUCGCUCUGCAGUCAAACGAUUUUACUAAAUAUCCUCCUGAUGGAGGCAGCAAGGACCUCUGAAAGGUUGACAGACCUUUACCAGACCGCACGCCGCUACAACGCGGGAGAGAGCCGAAAUGUUCACCGAGACAUCGAGAGGACUGCAAAGAAACACCUGUCGCCGGGGCCCACUGCAAGGGCGCUUGCUGUCUCACUUGCAACAAUUUUGCAAAUCCUAUGCCGAAAUGAUCCAAAAAUGUAUUCCAUUUACACUUCUAACAAAUCGAACGUCCCCACAAAUAUGAAGCGUCCGGAAGAGGAUACAUCACUACAAUCUAUUAAAAGAAGUCUGUGUUAUGAAGGCAGUUUUUGCAAAACGCGAACAGCAAAUUUGAGUAAUUGAGCGCGUUUCGUGUUCCCCCAGGUAUUUGGCAAACAUCCAGCACGAAAUUAAGUAAUGUUCCACUAAAAUUCCGAAGACUUCGUCUAUGUUGUACUUCCGGUAUAAUGGCCGCCAUCCGUCGCCUUCACUCAUUGAACCGGAACUCAAUUGUCACUUCCCAGUUCGCGGCAGGAGCUGCACGAGUCAUCGCCAAGCGCUAGGAGCAACGGAAACACAGCUGUGUCCAACAUCGGGUCAAAUCCUGAUUGUCGUUGUGUGGGCCGAUGUGGUUCGAUAUGCUGUUGAACGGCGUGUUUUGGUUAUGGGUCGU